GACGAACGCUGGCGGCGUGCUUAACACAUGCAAGUCGAACGAUGAAGAAGAGCUUGCUCUUCGGAUUAGUGGCGAACGGGUGAGUAACACGUGACUAACCUGCCCCUUUCUCUGGGAUAACGCUCCGAAAGGAGUGCUAAUACCGGAUACUCACAUCGAGGCACAUGCCUUGAUGUGGAAAGUUUUUCGGAAAGGGAUGGAGUCGCGGCCUAUCAGCUUGUUGGUGAGGUAACGGCUCACCAAGGCGACGACGGGUAGCCGGCCUGAGAGGGCGACCGGCCACACUGGGACUGAGACACGGCCCAGACUCCUACGGGAGGCAGCAGUGGGGAAUAUUGCACAAUGGGCGAAAGCCUGAUGCAGCGACGCCGCGUGAGGGAUGAAGGUCUUCGGAUUGUAAACCUCUUUCAGUAGGGACGAAGCGAAAGUGACGGUACCUAAAGAAGAAGCACCGGCUAACUACGUGCCAGCCGCCGCGGUAA
rnacentral:rRNA from 1 species